rnacentral:rRNA from 1 species
AACGAACGCUGGCGGCAGGCUUAACACAUGCAAGUCGAACGCACCGCAAGGUGAGUGGCAGACGGGUGAGUAACACGUGGGGAUCUGCCCAAUGGUACGGAAUAGCUCCGGGAAACUGGAAUUAAUACCGUAUGAGCCCGCAAGGGGAAAGAUUUAUCGCCAUUGGAUGAACCCGCGUCGGAUUAGCUAGUUGGUGUGGUAAAGGCGCACCAAGGCGACGAUCCGUAGCUGGUCUGAGAGGAUGAUCAGCCACACUGGGACUGAGACACGGCCCAGACUCCUACGGGAGUCAGCAGUGGGGAAUAUUGGACAAUGGGCGCAAGCCUGAUCCAGCCAUGCCGCGUGAGUGAUGAAGGCCUUAGGGUUGUAAAGCUCUUUCGCCGACGAAGAUAAUGACGGUAGUCGGAGAGGAAGCCCCGGCUAACUUCGUGCCAGCAGCCGCCGUAACAC